UACGUAGGGGGAAAGCGUUGUCCGGAUUUACUGGGUGUAAAGGGUGCUCAGGUGGUCUGAUAAGUCAGGGGUGAAAUCCUGGAGCUCAACUCCAGAACUGCCUUUGAUACUGGAGAGCUUGAGUCCGGAAGAGGUGAGUGGAACUCCGAGUGUAGAGGUGAAAUUCGUAGAUAUUCGGAAGAACACCAGUGGCGAAGGCGGCUCACUGGUCCGGUACUGACGCUGAUGUGCGAAAGCGUGGGGAGCAAACAGG
rnacentral:rRNA from 1 species